CGCCCAGCUAAUUUUUGUGUUUUUAGGGGAGACGGGUUUCACCAUUUUGGCCAGGGUGGUCUCGAUCUCCUGACCUUGUGAUCCGCCCGACUCGGCCUCCCAAAGUGCUGAAAUUGCAGGCGUGAGCCACUGCGCCUGGCUGAGUACAAUAUUAAUGUAGACAAACCAUGAAGUUUAUUAUUUCAUAUAAGAACAUUACAGGUUUGUUUUUUCUUGCAUGUCUGUCCACCUAAUGUUUAAGUAGUUCUGGUAGCUCUUCCUAUUCUUUAUUCUAUUUGAUUCCAUUUCUGUGAUUCUUUUAUUACCACUGAUGUUUUGUGAUAGUUAACUAUGAUAAAUUUAACUGAUCAUGAUUUAUCUUCUAGAGUAUUUAAAUAAUGUAUGAGUGACCACCCAAUUCCAACAUUAAAAGUGUAAUCUGGGCCCAUAAUUUAUAGUGAAAUUGUAUCAAAACAUAGGGAAACUGUAUUACUGUCCAUUUUGAAAAUAUGAAACUUGAGUAUUGAAAAUAUUCAAACAUGGAAUGGCAGUAUUCUAAUUUCAGUUAGUUGGUUCAUGUUAAUUUCUUACCUGUUAGAUGUUUAAACUGCAGUGACCUUUACUUGUAUCUACUCUAUGGUGGAAAUGUUAAACCAUGAUAGCUUUUGCUAUCAACUCAACCACUUAACUUUUAGAGCAGUUUUGGGGAGAGUUUAUGCUUCAUCUGAGUUUAGAAGUAAUGUCAGAAAAUGUUAAGCAUGUCUGUAUUAAGAAAAUAUAAGGUUUCUAAUUGUCUUAUUAAUAUGGUAAUUCAAGUGAAUUAGAAAUAUUUAACUGCAAUCUUGAAUUAUAAAGUUGAGA
rnacentral:sRNA from 1 species